UCUUGCUGAAGUGAUAGGCACUUUUCCGGUUUUCUCUCGUGAUCCAUUGUUGUCUUUAUUUCUUUUUUCCCUGCAGCUGACUGAUUCUCCGAAUGGAGGUGCUUGACAGUCACCAUCAUCUGCAAAAGACACACUUUAUUCUCACAGGAAGGCAGCGGUGAGAUGGAAAGAUGAAGCUGCUGUCCUUAACCUGGUGCUCAGUUCCUGUCUGAAUGACGUUAGUGGUGUCUGAGCUCCACAGGAGAUGACCUAGAAUGAUGGUGACGAUGCAUUUUUGGCAAUGAAAAGUCAGCAGUCUAGAUACACAAGAUGAAAUGUCACAGACUGCAUCACUGUCUAAAAACAUGGAGAAGGCUGGAACACAAACAGUGGACUAUCACAACACCAUCAACAAGAAGAACUGCUGGGUGAUCUCACCUUUCUGUCAUAAGAGACAGUGUGACCAGUCAUUACUGGUGUCAUUCAGUACUUGAUGAUGUUUACCUGUUAGCAGUAUCAGUGAUGUACUACAGGUCAGUUGUUACCAUGGUCACAGCAAUGGAAGUGCCAGUUAUAUUUUGUGCUGGUGUAAUAUCUUAUAGGCUUAGUAGCAAUUUCAAAGUUUUUUCACGGAAUACUUCUAAGUGCAAUCACAGUAGCUUUCUUCAAUUCAGAUUGCGCAGGUAAAAAUUUUGGACUGCGUCCAAAAUCACAUACUCUCUGAGUAGGUGCUUCUUUUUAAAUAAGUAAUUACUUUACGGGUUUUAAAAAAGUGUUUUAUACAGUAGUAUGAAUGUGUAUAGUAUGACUUUAAUCUGGAUGUACUACACAUAGUAACUUCUAUUUAGAACCAUAUCAUUCUAAAGAACCAUUUUAUGCUGAAAUUGUUCUUUGUAUUAGAGUUUAGGAUUCUUAUUCCCGCCUUUUUGUUUUUUAAAUCUGUAACUGUCAAAGUCAUAUCAUUAUUGAUUUACUGGAGUUCAACCAUACAACUACACAGACUGUCAAAAUAUUCUCAACAGGUAAAUGAGGGUGAGAAAUGAAUGAAUUUUCAUUUUUGGGUGAACUAUCCCCUUAAGGGCCAUGUUGUCUUAGGCAUAUUAGUGUUAGCUGCGUUACUUCACUGUCAUUCACAGAUCCUGGCCGCAUCUCGAACGGAAGGCUGCAUCCUCUGGAGGUCGCAUUUGUAUGCUGCAUACAUCAUAAAGAAGAUCUUAUUUUAGAAUAUUAACAGUUAUAAAUUUAACCAUUAUUCUUAGUUAAGUGUAAAUUGUUGUAAUAUGCUUUUGACUCGCAAAUGUAAUGCUCAGUUAACUGAA